rnacentral:rRNA from 1 species
UACAGAGGGGGCAAGCGUUGUUCGGAAUUACUGGGCGUAAAGGGCGCGUAGGCGGCCUGUUAAGUCGAACGUGAAAUCCCCGGGCUCAACCCGGGAACUGCGUCCGAUACUGGCAGGCUUGAAUUCGGGAGAGGGAUGUGGAAUUCCAGGUGUAGCGGUGAAAUGCGUAGAUAUCUGGAGGAACACCGGUGGCGAAGGCGGCGUCCUGGACCAACACUGACACUGAGGAGCGAAAGCCAGGGGAGCAAACGGG